rnacentral:rRNA from 1 species
GACGAACGCUGGCGGCGUGCUUAAUACAUGCAAGUCAACUGAACUUGAAGUAGCAAUAUUUCAAGGGAGGUGGCGCACGGGUGAGUAACACGUAGGUAAUCUGCCUUUAGGUCUGACAUAAUUCCGCGAAAGCGGGACUAACUUCAGAUGAUGCAGCGGCUCGACAUCGAGACAGUUGUUAAAUCUUCGGAGCCUAAAGAUGAGCCUGCGUCUGAUUAGGUAGUUGGCGGAGUAAUGGCCCACCAAGCCAUCGAUCAGUAGCUGGUCUGAGGGGAUGAUCAGCCACACUGGAACUGAGACACGGUCCAGACUCCUACGGGAGGCAGCAGUAAGGAAUAUUGCUCAAUGGCCGAAAGGCUGAAGCAGCAACGCCGCGUGGAGGACGAAAU